rfam:Cavia porcellus supercont2_17 genomic scaffold, whole genome shotgun sequence.
AUACUUACCUGGCAGGGGAGAUACCAUGAUCACAAAGAUGGUUUUCCCAGGGCAAGGCUUAUCCGUUGCACUUUGAGUGUGCUGAUGCUGUAAUUCCCUCAAAUGUGGAAAACUCUACUGCAUAUUUUGUGGUGGUAGAGCGACUGUGUUGAUGCUUUCCCAUG